rnacentral:rRNA from 1 species
GAUGAACGCUGGCGGCGUGCCUAAUACAUGCAAGUCGAACGCACAGCGAAAGGUGCUUGCACCUUUCAAGUGAGUGGCGAACGGGUGAGUAACACGUGGACAACCUGCCUCAAGGCUGGGGAUAACACUUGGAAACAGAUGCUAAUACCGAAUAAAACUCAGUGUCGCAUGACACAAAGUUAAAAGGCGCUUUGGCGUCACCUAGAGAUGGAUCCGCGGUGCAUUAGUUAGUUGGUGGGGUAAAGGCCUACCAAGACAAUGAUGCAUAGCCGGGUUGAGAGACAGAUCGGCCACAUUGGGACUGAGACACGGCCCAAACUCCUACGGGAGGCUGCAGUAGGGAAUCUUCCACAAUGGGCGAAAGCCUGAUGGAGCAACGCCGCGUGUGUGAUGAAGGCUUUCGGGUCGUAAAGCACUGUUGUAUGGGAAGAACAGCUAGAAUAGGGAAUGAUUUUAGUUUGACGGUACCAUACCAGAAAGGGACGGCUAAAUACGUGCCAGCAGCCGCCGCAG